rnacentral:rRNA from 1 species
UCCUACGGGAGGCAGCAGUAAGGAAUAUUCCACAAUGAGCGAAGGCUUGAUGGAGCGACACAGAGUGCAGGAUGAAGUCUUUAGGGAUGUAAACUGCUGUUGUAAGGGAAGAAAAAACUAGAUAGGAAAUGAUUUAGUCUUGACGGUACCUUAUUAGAAAGUGACGGCAAACUAUGUGCCAGCAGCCGCGGUAAUACAUAGGUCGCAAGCGUUAUCCGGAAUUAUUGGGCGUAAAGCGUCCGCAGGUUUUUUGUUAAGUUUAAGGUUAAAUGCUAAAGCUCAACUUUAGUUCGCUUUAGAUACUGACAAAAUAGAAUUAUGAAGAGGUUAGCGGAAUUCCUAGUGGAGCGGUGGAAUGCGUAGAUAUUAGGAAGAACACCAAUAGGCGAAGGCAGCUAACUGGUCAUAUAUUGACACUAAUGGACGAAAGCGUGGGGAGCAAACAGGAUUAGAUACCCUGGUAGUCC